rnacentral:rRNA from 1 species
AACGAACGCUGGCGGCAUGCCUAACACAUGCAAGUCGAACGAUGCCUUCGGGCAUAGUGGCGCACGGGUGCGUAACGCGUGGGAAUCUGCCUUUCGGUUCGGAAUACCUCAGGGAAACUUGAGCUAAUACCGGAUAACGUCGCAAGACCAAAGAUUUAUCACCGAAAGAUGAGCCCGCGUAGGAUUAGCUAGUUGGUGAUGUAAAGGCUCACCAAGGCGACGAUCCUUAGCUGGUCUGAGAGGAUGAUCAGCCACACUGGGACUGAGACACGGCCCAGAAUCCUACGGGAGGGAGCAGUGGGGAAUAUUGGACAAGGGGCGAAAGUGUGAUCAAGCCAUGCGGCGGGAGUGAUGAAGGCCUUAGGGUUGUAAAGCUCUUUUACACGGGAAGAUAAUGACGGUACCGGGAGAAUAAGCCCCGGCUAACUCCGUG